UACGUAGGGUGCGAGCGUUGUCCGGAAUUACUGGGCGUAAAGAGCUCGUAGGUGGUUUGUCGCGUUGUUCGUGAAAACUCACAACUCAAUUGUGGGCGUGCGGGCGAUACGGGCAGACUGGAGUACUGCAGGGGAGACUGGAAUUCCUGGUGUAGCGGUGGAAUGCGCAGAUAUCAGGAGGAACACCAAUGGCGAAGGCAGCUCGCUGGGACGGUACUGACGCUGAGGCGCGAAAGCGUGGGGAGCGAACAGG
rnacentral:rRNA from 1 species